rnacentral:lncRNA from 1 species
GAUGAUUUUAAGAACUUUUGCAAUAUAUUUUAUAAUUCGAAAAGUUGAUCUUCAUGGACUUUCAGGGGCUCAAAGUUGGCGAUUUUUUGCUUAACCGUGAGUGUAAAAGGACUAGGGCGAGAUGCCUAUAAAUGCCGGAUGUGACGUCAAACCGGGAACUGAUCAAAACAAAAUACAUAUGAUUUGCUAUAGUUUCUUGAUAAAAUCAUGAUAAAAUCGAGUAUAAAUUAGAUGUUUCUGGAAAUUUCUUCGAUAUUUCGAUUGGAAUUUAAAUGGAACUAUAUCCUUAACCUUCGGUUAUCCAACUGACAGGCAGAUUAGGCGAGAUACUAAUUUUAUGGCUGAGUGUGCAGGUCAAACACGUAUGCGCUGAUGCUAAUCUAUCUUGAUUUUAUAUACAGAAAUAUCGGGACAAAACGGCAAGGAACUGUAGGCUGUUGUUAAACCCAAUCCUGGAGAAUCUAUUCUCUUUGUCAGUACGGGUCAGAUUGGAAAUUAUUGUGGGCAAAACACCUCGUCCAUGAUCAAUAGAAGCGGCUGAAGCGCCGGUUUGCUUUGAAUUUGGGCGUCAUAGCCGCGUCAGCCGUCAGGAUUUGCCGUAAAUAAUUUUGUGAAAAAGUAGGUAAUACGAAUUUUAUAUGAUUUAAAAAGAGAAACUCUGAAGGCAAAGUGAACUUGUUUUAUUAUAUUG